GCCCGAAUUAUCCAUCUCUUCACCUACCUAUAUUCCCCCACUUUUUUUUUGUUACUUUUUUUAUUACAUACUGCUAUCAUGUACAUGUAUGUAUGUGGUUAGGUAGAUGUGUGCGAGUGUGUGUGUAGUGUUACUCAGUGAUAAGGAAGACAAAUUAGUACGUAGAAAAUAUUUUGAAAAAAAAAAGUGAAGGAGGGGGGAAUAUAGGUAGGUGAAGAGAUGGAUCAUUUGGGC